rnacentral:rRNA from 1 species
CGGCGUGCCUAAUACAUGCAAGUCGAACGCACUCUCGUUUAGAUUGAAGGAGCUUGCUCCUGAUUGAUAAACAUUUGAGUGAGUGGCGGACGGGUGAGUAACACGUGGGUAACCUGCCCUAAAGUGGGGGAUAACAUUUGGAAACAGAUGCUAAUACCGCAUAAAGCCUAACACCGCAUGGUGUAGGGUUGAAAGAUGGCUUCGGCUAUCACUUUAGGAUGGACCCGCGGUGCAUUAGUUAGUUGGUGAGGUAAAGGCUCACCAAGACCGUGAUGCAUAGCCGACCUGAGAGGGUAAUCGGCCACACUGGGACUGAGACACGGCCCAGACUCCUACGGAGGCAGCAGUAGGGAAUCUUCCACAAUGGACGAAAGUCUGAUGGAGCAACGCCGCGUGAGUGAAGAAGGUUUUCGGAUCGUAAAACUCUGUUGUUGGAGAAGAAUGUAUCUGAUAGUAACUGAUCAGGUAGUGACGGUAUCCAACCAGAAAGCCACGGCUAACUACGUG